UCUAUUAUCGAAACACUUCCUUAAAUAGACAAAAAUUACGAGUACAACCACGUGCCGUAUUUUCUACUCGAUGACGUCAAUGACCGGAAUCUAUCGCCCACCAAUAAUAGAAAGUUACAACUAGAGGCCUUCCACGUGGUCUCCAUUAUUAAAUUUGUCAAUUGGAUCCGUAUCCGUUCGUUGUUAUCGUUUGUAUAUCUAAGAAAAAUGCAAAAUUAAGUUAAGUAGGUUUUUUCCCUCAGACGUUUGGGUGAAAAUGUGCGUUAUUAUAAAUUUCGUCCAUGCAAUUCACGGAAUAUUUAUUUCUCGUCCUUAUUGCGGGACUGAAAAUUUUGAUUACAUUUUUAUAAUUUCUAAAAUUCAUUUUGUGAUAACGCUUUGGAUGAGUGGCACAAACUUUGAAUUGCCAUCAGAAUUUGUAAAAACAAAAUUGGUUUACAAACUUUCGAUGUAAUUGUAGAGUGUCAAAGGAAGUUUGUAGCUGUGUACAAAGCAAGAAGAUUAAUUUUGUCUGUUUUUAACCGUUUAGAGCUCGACCCCUAGAUCGUCGGAAACGAAGUAGAGAAACUUUUUAUUUUGUGCUCGCUCUUUACCAAACAUUUUGUAGACUGUCAAACGAUGACAAGUAAUAAACUGUGCAACAGAGGGAAGAAUCAGAAGAUGCAGAAGUUGACCAAAUUGAGAGAUAAAGGAAUAUCCAAAUUAAAAAAGGCAGAAACAAAGGAAAUUGUAAAAAAGAUAGUUGAGGCAGAAAUACCAAGAACCUGUUGUAUAAAUCAUUUACAAUGUUUACUAAAGCAUUUUUGAGGAGUUUUAUAUAACAAAAUUUUUAAGUUGUCAUCUGUUUAAACUUUAUCUAAAAAUUAAUUCUAUUUGUUGUCAGAAUGGGUAUUGAUAGGAGCUUUUGAGAAAGGAAUUGCUACAUCUUAAGCAAUGGAGUUUUAUAUUUUUUUCCAAAAAAUUGUCUCGAGAAGUCGAAGAGAGGAGAUUUAGAAGUGCACGUAUAAAUUAUUUGGCAUGAAUUUCGUAGAGACAGCUCCAUUUCCGACAUUACAAAAACUAGUCGUACAGCAAGAUCUGCACAGAUAGAGCUUUGUCCGUUCUCCCAGAAUGAUGCAACCUUCUUCACAACGUUUGCUGCAGUUUCUUUCUACCGACCAAAAGGUGACUGGUUGACCUUCCAGGUUAUAUUCAAAUUUAAUAACCUGCUCGAUUAAAAUAAUUUAUGGUCGAGAAAUAAAAAACGAAAACAAACGAUUAUCGAAAGUUAUUACGACGUAGAAGUCAAAAGAAUUAUUUGAAAUGUUAUGUACUUACCGUACAAAAUAAUUCAUUUUCGGAACAAGAACGUUUAAGUGAAUGUGAAUAAUUAUUUGGUAAAGUUCUGCAGUUUUCUUUAUCGUCUAUUG
rnacentral:lncRNA from 1 species